rnacentral:tRNA from 1 species
GGUGGCUCAGAGGCAGAGCGCUUGCCUAGCAUGCAUGAAGCCCUGAGUUCGAUUCCUCAGUACCA